rnacentral:misc_RNA from 1 species
GAAAUGCGAUAAGUAAUGUGAAUUGCAGAAUUCAGUGAAUCAUCGAAUCUUUGAACGCACAUUGCGCCCGUCAGCAUUCUGGCGGGCAUGCCUGUUCGAGCGUCAUUUCAACCCUCAGGACCCCCCUUUCGCGGGGAGGGACCUGGCGUUGGGGAUCGGCCCGCCCCCCGCGGCGGCGCCGUCCCCGAAAUCUAGUGGCGGUCUCGCUGCAGCCUCCCCUGCGUAGUAGUUACAACCUCGCAUCGGAGCGCGGCGCGGCCACGCCGUAAAACCCCCGACUUUCUGAACGUUGACCUCGGAUCAGGUAGGAAUACCCGCUGAACUUAA